CAGUCGAACGAAGUAGCAAUACUUAGUGGCAGACGGGUGAGUAACAUGUGGGUAUCUACCCUUUGGCCUGGAAUAACACGAGGAAACUUGUGCUAAUACCGGAUAAGUCUUUACGGAGAAAGCUUUAUGCACCAUUGGAUGAGCCCGCACUUGAUUAGUUUGUUGGUAGGGUAAUGGCCUACCAAGACUAUGAUCAAUAGCUGAUUUGAGAGGAUGAUCAGCCACAUUGGGACUGAGGCACGGCCCAAACUCCUACGGGAGGCAGCAGUGGGGAAUCUUGCACAAUGGAGGAAACUCUGAUGCAGCGAUGCCGCGUGAGUGAAGAAGGCCCUUGGGUUGUAAAGCUCUUUCGUCGGGGAAGAAAAUGACUGUACCCGAAUAAGAAGGUCCGGCUAACUUCGUGCCAGCAGCCGCGGUAAUACGAAGGGACCUAGCGUAGUUCGGAAUUACUGGGCUUAAAGAGUUCGUAGGUGGUUGAAAUAGUUAGUGGUGAAAUCCCAGAGCUUAACUCUGGAACUGCCAUUAAAACUUUUCAGCUAGAGUAUGAUAGAGGAAAGCAGAAUUUCUAGUGUAGAGGUGAAAUUCGUAGAUAUUAGAAAGA
rnacentral:rRNA from 1 species